UACGUAGGUGGCAAGCGUUGUCCGGAUUUACUGGGCGUAAAGAGCGCGCAGGCGGUCGGAUCAGUCGAAUGUGAAAGCCCCCGGCUCAACUGGGGAGGGUCAUUCGAUACUGUCCGACUCGAAGGCAGGAGAGGGAAGCGGAAUUCCCGGUGUAGUGGUGAAAUGCGUAGAUAUCGGGAGGAACACCAAUAGCGAAGGCAGCUCGCUGGGACGUUACUGACACUGAGGCGCGAAAGCGUGGGGAGCGAACAGG
rnacentral:rRNA from 1 species